ACUUAGUGGCAGACGGGUGAGUAACAUGUGGGUAUCUACCCUUUGGCCUGGAAUAACACGAGGAAACUUGUGCUAAUACCGGAUAAGUCUUUACGGAGAAAGCUUUAUGCACCAUUGGAUGAGCCCGCACUUGAUUAGUUUGUUGGUAGGGUAAUGGCCUACCAAGACUAUGAUCAAUAGCUGAUUUGAGAGGAUGAUCAGCCACAUUGGGACUGAGACACGGCCCAAACUCCUACGGGAGGCAGCAGUGGGGAAUCUUGCACAAUGGAGGAAACUCUGAUGCAGCGAUGCCGCGUGAGUGAAGAAGGCCUUUGGGUUGUAAAGCUCUUUCGUCGGGGAAGAAAAUGACUGUACCCGAAUAAGAAGGUCCGGCUAACUUCGUGCCAGCAGCCGCGGUAAUACGAAGGGACCUAGCGUAGUUCGGAAUUACUGGGCUUAAAGAGUUCGUAGGUGGUUGAAAAAGUUGGUGGUGAAAUCCCAGAGCUUAACUCUGGAGCUGCCAUCAAAACUUUUCAGCUAGAGUAUGAUAGAGGAAAGCAGAAU
rnacentral:rRNA from 1 species